UCCAACGACUAUCCAGAAUGAGGCCGAGG
rnacentral:sRNA from 1 species